UUUUUGAUUAUAAUUUAAAGUCUAAUCUGCCCACUGAUAAAAUUAUUAAAGGGCUGCAGUAUUUUGACUGUACAAAGGUAGCAUAAUCAUUUGUCUCUUAAUUGGUGACUUGUAUGAAAGAUUGGAUGAAAAAUAAACUGUCUCAUUAUAAUAAAUAAAAUUUAAUUUUUUAGUAAAAAAGCUAAGAUAUUUUUAAAAGACGAGAAGACCCUAUAGAGUUUGAUAAUUAAUUAAAUUUAAAUUUAGUAUAAAAAUUAAAAUUUGAAUUUAUUUAAUUAUUUUGUUGGGGUGAUAGAAAAAUUAAAUUAACUUUUUUUUAAUUUAUACAUGAAUAAGUGAGUAAAUGAUCCAUUAAUAAUGAUUAGAAGAAAAAAUUACCUUAGGGAUAACAGCGUAAUUUUUUUUCUUAGGUCAAAUAAGAAAAAGAGUUUGCGACCUCGAUGUUGGAUUAAGAUAAAAUUUUGAUGUAAAAGUUUAAAUUUUUGAUCUGUUCGAUCAUUAAAA
rnacentral:rRNA from 1 species